rnacentral:lncRNA from 1 species
CCUUUGAUAAAAAAAAUAUAAAAUAUAAAAUAAAAAUAUAAAAUUUACAUCCGAAGACAAUAUUUUUCUACAACAAUCAAAGGCUCAUUGACGAGAACAAUAGAAAAAAAUAUUGAAUACAGAUUUUUGAAUCUCAAAAAAAUACAGCUAAAGAAAAGAAGGAAAUCAACAAAAAGUUGAGGGUUUUCACUUUUCCUUUUCGGAUUCAAGCACGUAAUUUGCAUCUUCCAUUUUCAACAGUUGAUCAACACAUACUCCAUUUCUCAACCACCACUACAAACUUCAUCUCUUCUCAACAUACUUUGUUAGUUAAAUUCUCAAAAACCAUUGAGCCCUUUCAUGUUCCUUCACAUUCAUCACACAACAUCUGCCAUAUCCUAAACUACUCACAAAAACUAAACCUUUACAGAAAUUGCAUGAAACAUCACCAUAUAAAAAACUUAGAACACAAGAAUUUCUUCAACAAACUAUAAAAUAUCUUUUCAACCCAGUGCAAUCAGCUCAUUAAAAAUUAACUUCAAAGAAGGAAAAAGAAUCCAGAUGCAAAUGAUCCGAAUUUCGAUAUACAAUGAAUUAUCAGAAUCACAAUUAAUUAAACAAAAAGUUGUAAACAAUUAAAGAAGUGAACAAAAAGAGUAACCAAUGGCGGAAGGUGGUGAGACUACAUUUGCAAACGUUACAUGUGAGGCUUCUUCGAACAGAGAGGACUCCAUUGAUAUUGAUUCUUCCUCAAUUCCGAAUUCCAAUCGUGAUGUGAUUAAAGAGAAUUUGCACUCAGAUUACUCAGGUUUUUUAUGUCUGAGUACUGAGUAGGCCAUGAGAGAAAUUCAAAUAAAAAUCAAAUGGAAAGGAAAACGAAAGGAAAAAACGGUCUUCUAGAAAGCAUCAAAGGAAUUGUUGCCACAACUAGUCCCAAGUGUAUCAAUUGAAUGUCAACUAUAGUGCCAGCUGACAAAGGAGCAAAGAAUAAAACGUAAUU